UUUCCCGAAACACGCCGCCCCCAUUUUCUCCUCCCUGUCAACCUUUUUCCCUUUAAGAAAUUCGGCCUGGCUAAUGUACUCGCUGCGAGAUCUUCAGCUCCGGGCCCCGGGCCCCCGUGUGGAUUAGUCGCUGUCACGUUCGACGAGGGGCGCCAAUUGCGGUGGCCACCACCUCCAAUCCACUCCCCGCAGCCGCCGCGCCGAGCUGUUCUUGCUCUGUCCUCCUAACGUCCUCCCUACCAUCCCCAAGAUUUGAUCUUUAGACCCAGUUCCUGCGCCCAGUUCUUCCUAAGGCGGAGGGGUGGUUGCUUCUCCGGGCUCUGAGGUUGGAAUCUUGUCCCGCUCACAAGGUUUAGUCUUGAUUGGUCUCAUCUGCUCAGCUGUCUGGUUGCAAGCUUAGAACUGGAAGGAAUAAUUUGACUAGAGAAAUGGGACAGUGUUGCAGCAGAGCUACGGCCCCAGAUUCUGGACGGGGAGGUGCCAAUGGGUAUGGCUAUUCUAACCAGGCAAAGCCAGCACAAACACCUCCCAGUUACAAUGCUCCUCAGCCACAGGCCGAGGUACGGUACACGCCGCCGGCGAUGAACCCUCCGGUAGUCCCACCUGUAAUUGUCCCACCGAAGCCCACUGCAGACACAAUUCUUGGCAAGCCGUAUGAGGAUGUGCGCACAGUCUACUCCCUCGGGAAGGAGCUUGGCCGCGGCCAGUUCGGGGUGACGUACCUCUGCACAGAGAUUGCUACUGGUAGGCAGUACGCGUGCAAAUCCAUCUCUAAACGCAAGCUCACCAGCAAGGCAGACAGGGAGGACAUUCGCAGGGAGAUCCAGAUCAUGCAGCACUUGUCUGGGCAGCCAAACAUUGUUGAGUUCCGGGGAGCGUACGAGGAUAAGAGCAAUGUGCAUGUGGUGAUGGAGCUCUGCGCUGGUGGUGAACUAUUUGAUCGGAUCAUUGCUAAGGGGCACUACACAGAACGGGCAGCUGCUACAAUCUGCAGAGCAGUUGUGAAUGUUGUGAACAUUUGCCACUUCAUGGGAGUGAUGCAUCGUGAUCUGAAACCAGAGAAUUUCUUGCUCGCAACCAAGGAGGAGAAUGCAAUGCUCAAGGCCACUGAUUUCGGACUUUCAGUCUUCAUUGAAGAAGGAAAGAUGUACAGGGACAUUGUUGGAAGUGCUUAUUAUGUUGCUCCUGAAGUCCUUAGGCGGAGUUAUGGAAAAGAGAUAGAUGUUUGGAGUGCAGGAGUUAUUUUGUACAUUCUCCUCAGUGGCGUGCCUCCAUUUUGGGCUGAAACUGAGAAGGGGAUAUUUGAUGCUAUUCUGCAUGAGGAGAUUGACUUUGAAAGUCAGCCUUGGCCAUCAAUUUCUGAGAGUGCUAAAGACCUGGUUAGAAAGAUGUUGGCACGAGAUCCAAAGAAAAGACUUACUUCAGGCCAAGUUCUUCAACAUCCAUGGCUCAGAGAAGGUGGAGAUGCAUCUGAUAAGCCUAUUGACAGUGCUGUUCUUUCUAGAAUGAAGCAAUUCAGAGCAAUGAAUAAGCUGAAAAAGAUGGCUCUGAAGGUUAUUGCUUCAAACCUCAAUGAGGAAGAGAUCAAGGGCUUGAAGCAAAUGUUCAUGAACAUGGACACAGACAACAGUGGUACAAUCACAUACGAAGAACUCAAAGCAGGAUUAGCCAAACUUGGAUCAAAGCUGUCAGAAGCUGAAGUAAAGCAGUUGAUGGAGGCUGCUGAUGUUGACGGGAAUGGAUCCAUUGACUAUGUUGAGUUUAUCACUGCCACAAUGCAUAGACACAAGCUCGAAAGGGAUGAGCAUUUGUUUAAGGCAUUCCAGUACUUUGAUAAAGAUAACAGCGGCUUCAUCACAAGAGAUGAGCUAGAGUCAGCUUUGAUCGAGCAUGAGAUGGGUGACACGAGUACGAUAAAGGAGAUCAUAUCAGAAGUUGACACGGACAAUGAUGGAAGGAUUAACUAUGAGGAAUUUUGCGCUAUGAUGAGAGGAGGGAUGCAGCAGCCAAUGAGGCUUAAGUAGCCUGUUCACUUUGUAGAAACGGUGUACCAUUAGUUACUGUUGUUUGCUCUUUCUUUCUUCAUGGCUGGUACUUAAGCUGGAUAAAGGCUUACAAUGGACUUUGCUUGUGCAUUGUUGAGAGGUGAUUGUGUAUAUCUUUUUUUUGCUCGUGUUUGUUGCCUUGUAGCAUCUUGAACGCCCCUUAGUUUCUUCUGUAAGUUUAUUUAUGCAAAUACAUCUAAUAAAACGUGCAUUUUGCCUC